AUGCUUAACACAUGCAAGUCGAACGGAAACGAUGGAAGCUUGCUUCCAGGCGUCGAGUGGCGGACGGGUGAGUAAUGCUUGGGAAUCUGCCUAAUAGUGGGGGAAAACUCGGGGAAACUCGGGCUAAUACCGCAUAAUCUCUUCGGAGGAAAGAGGGCCUCUACAUGUAAGCUCUCGCUAAUAGAUGAGCCCAAGUCAGAUUAGCUUGUUGGUGAGGUAAAAGCUCACCAAGGCUACGAUCUGUAGCUGGUCUGAGAGGACGAUCAGCCACACUGGGACUGAGACACGGCCCAGACUCCUACGGGAGGCAGCAGUGGGGAAUAUUGCACAAUGGGCGCAAGCCUGAUGCAGCAAUGCCGCGUGUGUGAAGAAGGCCUUAGGGUUGUAAAGCACUUUCAAUAGAGAAGAAAAGCUUAGAGUUAAUAACUCUAAGCAUUGACGUAACCUAUAGAAGAAGCACCGGCUAAAUCCGUGCCAGCAGCCGCGGUAAUACGGAUGGUGCGAGCGUUAAUCGGAAUUACUGGGCGUAAAGCGCGCGUAGGCUGUCUUAUAAGUCGGAUGUGAAAUCCCCGGGCUUAACCUGGGAACUGCAUCCGAAACUAUUUAACUAGAGUAUGGGAGAGGUAAGUAGAAUUUCCGGUGUAGCGGUGAAAUGCGUAGAUAUCUGAAGGAACACCAGUGG
rnacentral:rRNA from 1 species